UAUGGCCACAUCACGUUGAAACACCGAUUCCCGUACAAUUACUGAAGUUAAGCAACGUCAAGCCUGGUCAUUAUAUAGAUGGGUGAUCACUUGAGAAUACCAGGUGUUGUAAG